ACCGCCACCGCUUGUGUCAAGCGGCGGUCUGAGCACCGGAACCGCUUUAGGAUUUCUUCCCCACCGCAAAGCUGAGAGAAGGAUGCUACCGUCUAACCUUGGCUCUCCCAGCCUCCACCUUCCUGCGCCGCUGCUCCUGCUCGUCUUCCAUCUCCACCUGGGCUCCCGGCGAGUCGCUCGGAGGUGACAGGGCGGCGGCGACACCGCCUUCGCUCUAUUUACACUCCCUCCCUUCACCCACUCGCCUCCCCACCCCCCAUACACACAACUGUCAGCUUCGCCCCGCCAAUCCGGAGCCCCGUGUGGCCUUGCGCACGCGCGCUCCGCUGACGCUCCAAGGGCGGAGAGCCAUCUCUCUGGUCCCCAAUUGGUACGCCGACGCUCUCCACCCUCUUCAUCCACGCCAAUGAGCGAGGCGCGGCGUUCCCGGGGCUCGCGGGCGUUCGUCGACUGGGCGGCGGGAAGGUUUGGACAAACCGUUUUCCCGAGGCGGUGCUACCUAUCGCCCUCUCCCGACAGGAGGAGGACUUACAUACCAGCGGCUCUCCAUGCCUCCGGUGCAGUCAACUGGGAGUCCUGCUUCCCUUCUUUGACCACUUCGGCCCCUCCUGAACACGGUCCCCUGUCUUCAAUCCAAAUCCAAAGAACAGAGUAUAGCCAGAGUUACUCAUUGAAUGACACCUAAAACUUAGACCGCUGUCCCCAGUGGACCCCAGAGUUGCCACCCAGGGCCGUUUUGCAUUCACGCACACGCUUCAAUGUACAGAGUCGCUGUGUGUUCAGGCACCUGACUCUCACUCCAUCCAUCACCUCUACCAGGAAAGUCUUUCUGCCAUAAGGAAAUAAAGAAACUAUGGUCCAUUUGUAGUAAGAGGCGCGUUUAAAGCUCAUCGGUGGAUUACAGGAAAUUAGGAGGAUUGGGCCCUUGGAUUCCCUAGCCGGCAGCAGGUUCUUUCUUGCCUAACAUUUAUUAAUUUAUCAUUGGGUUGAAACGUUGCAGGCUGUUAACAUGACUAACAUAAAAGGAGAGGAUCUGAGCUCCAGGAUAUAUGUCAAGAGCUUUGCAUCCUGCACGGAUAGGAUAGGGAAGCUGGAGAGAGGGUAAUGCCUAUAAGAAUGAAUCCUCCUGAAGAACUCAGUAGUGUGGAAUUUGGGAACAGGGAAAUGCCGUAAGGGCUAUAAAACC
rnacentral:lncRNA from 1 species